rnacentral:lncRNA from 1 species
AAAAACUAAUACAAAAAAAAUAAUAUAAAUGAAAUCCCCCAAAGUUUAAAUUUUUUAUAAAAUUAAAUUCCAACAAAUAAAAUAAAAUAACCUCUAUCAUAGAAAUAAAAGAACCCUUUUCUUAUUGUGCAAUGCAAUGGCCUUCAUAGAUUGAUUUAAUCAGAGGAGGGCUUGGUCUUGGACCUAUAUAGGAGCUUCUUCUUCUUCGAGGACUGGUUAUCAAUGGUGAGAACCACCUUGCCGGGUUCGCCAAUUUUGAAUGUGUCGCAGAUGACCGGUUCAUCAGUUGGCGCGACCUUCCUAGUCUUUGACACUAUUACAGUGUAGCUG